UAAUACGAAGGGGGCUAGCGUUGUUCGGAAUUACUGGGCGUAAAGGGCGUGUAGGCGGCCCGUUAAGACAGGUGUGAAAUUCCUGGGCUCAACCCAGGACGUGCGCCUGUGACUGGCGGGCUUGAGUCCGGGAGAGGAUGGUGGAACUCCCAGUGUAGAGGUGAAAUUCGUAGAUAUUGGGAAGAACACCCGUGGCGAAGGCGGCCAUCUGGACCGGUACUGACGCUAAGGCGCGACAGCGUGGGGAGCAAACAGGAUUAGAUACCCUGGUAGUCCACGCCGUAAACGAUGAGUGCUAGACGUUGGGAAGCCUAGCUUUUCAGUGUCGCAGCUAACGCAUUAAGCACUCCGCCUGGGGAGUACGGCCGCAAGGUUGAAACUUAAAUGAAUUGACGG
rnacentral:rRNA from 1 species